UAUCCCGGAAUCUACGGCCAUCCUCCACUGGGCUCCGCCCCUUUGAUCAAUGAUCUCUCCCUCACACUCUUCCCCGGAGACCGCUGCCUUCUAGUGGGCUCCAAUGGAGCUGGGAAAACAACAAUCUUGAAGAUAAUAGGAGGGAAGCAGUUGGUGGACCAAGAUAUGGUGAGGGUGCUGGGAAGAUCAGCAUUCCACGACACCUCUUUGACUGCCUUGGGUGAUCUUUCUUACCUUGGUGGUGAGUGGAGACGUGAAGUUGCUUUUGCUGGUUUGAGAUUCCCAAUCAGAUGGAUGUUUCUGCUGAGAAAAUGAUUUAUACCCAGAGACGAGAUGAACUAAUAAAGGGAAAAAGAUAAUAUUCCUUUACGACAUCAAGGUCAGCAUCUGUUUCAAGCAUGGGGCAGACUGCAGAGAGUGCCUAGGAUCAAGGUUUGAUCAAGGAGCCUAAGUAGGAUCCAUUUCAAUGUACUCAUAGAUGAGAUGAACCUGGGAUCUUGCGUAUCAGUCCUCGUAUUUCAAUGUACUCACAGAUAUAUUGUUGUUUAUUUCUUUUCUUUAAAUAAUAAAGGCUGCAUGUAGCCUAUAUACUUUACUAAUAGAAGUUUCUAAUGGAUUGUCUUUCAAGCAAGCAGUACUUAGUCAAAUGACAUUCAACAUCACUAAACAUUAAAAUUGAUCCACCCUGAAAGGAGGGAUGCAUUAUCAUUCCAGAAAUAAGCAAGCCAAAGUGGCAUAAUGCUGAAACAGUAUAAGCUCAGCUGAACAUAGUACCAGAUAACUAUCUA